rnacentral:rRNA from 1 species
UAGUCCACGCCGUAAACGAUGAACACUUGGUGUUGGAGGUAUUGACCCCUUCAGUGCCGUAGCUAACGCGUUAAGUGUUCCGCCUGGGGAGUACGGCCGCAAGGUUAAAACUCAAAGAAAUUGACGGGGGCCCGCACAAGCGGUGGAGCAUGUGGUUUAAUUCGAUGCAACGCGCAAUACCUUACCUGGGCUUGACAUCUAGGGGGCGGAUGCCAGAGAUGGCUCUUCUCUUCGGAGCUCCUAGACAGGUGCUGCAUGGCUGUCGUCAGCUCGUGUCGUGAGAUGUUGGGUUAAGUCCCGCAACGAGCGCAACCCUCGUCUUUAGUUGCCAGCAUUUAGUUGGGCACUCUAAAGAUACUGCCGACGUUAAGUCGGAGGAAGGUGGGGAUGACGUCAAGUCCUCAUGGGCCCUUAUGUCCAGGGGCUACACACGUGCUACAAUGGGGUAAUACAGAGGGUAGCGAAGCCGCGAGGUGGAGCCAAUCUCUUAAAGUUACUCCAAGUUCGGAUCGUAGU